AGAGUUUGAUCAUGGCUCAGAAUCAACGCUGGCGGCGUGCCUAACACAUGCAAGUCGGACGCGAAAGCCCUUUCGGGGGUAAGUAGAGUGGCGUCCGGGUGAGUAACACGUAGGUAAUCUACCUUCGGGUGGGGAAUAACUCGCCGAAAGGCGAGCUAAUACCGCAUAAUGCAGCGGCACCUAAUGGUGAUUAGUUGUUAAAGCGGGGGAUCGCAAGACCUCGCGCCUGAAGAGGAGCCUGCGGCAGAUUAGCUAGUUGGUGAGGUAAUGGCUCACCAAGGCUUCGAUCUGUAGCUGGUCUGAGAGGACGGCCAGCCACACUGGCACUGACACACGGGCCAGACUCCUACGGGAGGCAGCAGUGGGGAAUUUUGGGCAAUGGGCGCAAGCCUGACCCAGCAACGCCGCGUGAGGGAGGAAAUCCUUCGGGAUGUAAACCUCACAAGCAAGGGAAGAGAGCUCAGGGCCGAAUAAGUCCUGAGUCCGACGGUACCUGCGUAGC
rnacentral:rRNA from 1 species